AUGAAAGUUUGCUUGCAAACUUUUGAUGGCGACCGGCGCACGGGUGAGUAACACGUAUCCAACCUGCCUCAUACUCGGGGAUAGCCUUUCGAAAGAAAGAUUAAUACCCGAUGUCAUAGUCCUACCGCAUGAUGGGAUUAUUAAAGAAUUUCGGUAUGGGAUGGGGAUGCGUUCCAUUUGUUAGUUGGCGGGGUAACGGCCCACCAAGACAACGAUGGAUAGGGGUUCUGAGAGGAAGGUCCCCCACAUUGGAACUGAGACACGGUCCAAACUCCUACGGGAGGCAGCAGUGAGGAAUAUUGGUCAAUGGACGAGAGUCUGAACCAGCCAAGUAGCGUGAAGGAUGACUGCCCUAUGGGUUGUAAACUUCUUUUAUAUGGGAAUAAAAUGUUCCACGUGUGGGAUUUUGUAUGUACCAUAUGAAUAAGGAUCGGCUAACUCCGUGCCAGCAGCCGCGGUAAUACGGAGGAUCCGAGCGUUGUCCGGACUUAUUGGGUUUAAAGGGAGCGUAGGUGGAUUGUUAAGUCAGUUGUGAAAGUUUGCGGCUCAACCGUAAAAUUGCAGUUGAAACUGGCAGUCUUGAGUACAGUAGAGGUGGGCGGAAUUCGUGGUGUAGCGGUGAAAUGCUUAGAUAUCACGAAGAACUCCGAUUGCGAAGGCAGCUCACUGGACUGCAACUGACACUGAGGCUCGAAAGUGUGGGUAUCAAACA
rnacentral:rRNA from 1 species